GGGGAAGUAGGGAGGGAGGGUAGAAGAGAGAGACAAAGAAAAGAGAAGCUAUUUCCAUCUCCUUACAGCCACAAGGGUUCAGUGGCCAAGUUACCUGAGUGUCUCCUAGGAUGCGUUUGUACAGCAAACAACAAUGGUGACUGCAGUCUGGGGAGCUGUACCUGCACAAGCUUGACUCAAUCUAACAUGCAACUCCAGCAAUAACAGUGUGCAAGCAGCAGUUCAACUCAAGCUGAAGAUACAAUGGACCUCAUCAACUGAGAGCACUUUCAUGAUGAUUAGCACAUUAUUAACUCCCACAUACUAGCAUCACCUCUUGCAUGAAUUCAUUUGAAUGUGCUGGACAGACAAUCUCUCAAAAGCACAAUUAUUUUGAUUAUGUGAUUUACAGAAGACUCUGAAAGGUACAUGUCUCAGAUCCCACCCAAUAAAGUGACUAAAACAUUUCCUGACAUUUAGAACUCAUUAAUGAGCAACAUUAGUAGCGAACACUACAUUACAGACAAAGAAAAUGUCUUUGAACAUUAUGCUUACUUUGAACAGUAAAUUACAUAGAAGCUAUGUACAAUGUAGUAACCACAUUUAAGAAUAACUACACAUUUUGCAACCUGCAGCACUGUCACUCCAAUGAUAUGGAACCUUUGUUUGAGGAACAGACUUUGAAUCUAUUGUUUGCUUAAUGAAUUCAAAUCAGCAACUGCACAGAUCCACAGAAGCAACAGUGCCAAUGGCAAGAGACACUAUAAAAAGGGAAGUAUAUAAAUUUCAACAACAGACUAAAAAAUACUGAAAUACUCUCAAGUCUUACUGGCUCUUAAAACUGAUGCAUUAGUCCUACAUGUCAUUCCUCCUUUUCAGUGAGUUUUUGAACUGUUACCCUAUUAAAUGAGAAGAAAAAAAAAAUAAAACAAAGCCAAAACUCUCAAUGACUGUACCACUUCACAACUCCUGACAGUAUUAAAGCUCUUUUGGGCUGCUGAACUAUGUAAAUUCUUUAAAGAGCUGAGUACUGACAGGAUAUGAGGAACUCUAGGUUCUUCUUCGCCACUGGAGCUGACUGUUUCUAGGUAGUUCAUGACAGGUGAGAACACCUG